CACCUCCGGUAUACCAGCACGUGCCAAUACCUCAGCCAACGGUUCACCAGCAACAGCCAGAUUGGUCGGCACGUAUUGCGGAGGUGAUUCAGGAACAAUUCGGCUUAAAGCCGAAGGUACAAACUUACACCUAUAGGACACCAUACCCGUCUACAUAUGACCUACUACCGUUUCCCCAUCGGUAUAAAGUUCCUGACUUCACCAAGUUCUCGGGGAUGGAUGAUACUUCA
rnacentral:lncRNA from 1 species